AUCUCUACCUGGAGACCACUUCUCUUGGAGCCCUUCCGGGAGCCCAGGACGUGGUGUGCUUGAGGAAUGCCAUUUUGACAGCCUGAUCAGGUUCUGCUCUGGAAAACCAGACCAGGAGCGGUGGCAGCAAUGUGUUUGGGAAGGGGUCUGUGUGUUCUCAACCUGUGGAUUGUAACCUGGCUUCUGUUUGUGAGAGAUCUGAGGGGGAAAGCCAACACCUUGUGACAACUUAAAAAUUAGGUAGUGGUGUGAACGUACCUGCUUGAAUCUGUGAGUAGCCUGGAAACCAGAAAUGGGGGUUUCUUUCCACCCAUCUGCUUGGGAGAUGAGAAGCAGCAGUGAGUGGAAUCCCAGGCUGUGCACAGUGUGGAUGUGUGGGCUCCCCAUCAACACCACGAUGGAUGUGUUGGACCCUUUGCCAGAUCAUGUUGCGGACAGAGUUCUAAUGGAAUCAAGGGGAGCUGAACAAAUAUUUGGAUAAGAUAGUCCUGAAGGGUUCUAAAUACAGACUCGGGAAACUCCUGUGGCUGAAAGUAGUCAAAAGCUCAGAUGGAGUCAGAGUGCACAGCUCAGCUGCUCUUACGCCUUGGUUGGGUUGGCACAGUACAAUAGUUGUGCACAUGUUUUGUUGCACAGGGAUGGCAGGAAAAUAGAAGAACUGAAGCUUGUGGUGACUGGAUUCAGGGCUAAUAAUAGAAGAGAUGAAUGCCAAACUUAGUGCCUCGUAGCAGCACCAAAGGGAAUCUCUGCAAAAAGUGCUCCCAGAUAUCGCAUGCAUUGGCUUCAGCCUGGAGGAACUGUGAGAGCAAAAGUUUGUGGUUUUUCUAAGCUGGAGAUGGGAUUAGCUCAAGAGGGAGAGCCAUACAUCUACCUGGAUAUUGGCAGCUUCCAGUUUUCCAUUUUACAACCUGUGUUUGGUGAUGCUUCCUUGGACAGCGAGGUGAAAGCAAAAAGAAGGCAGAAAUGGAGUGGUUGCUCACUUUGCACAUGAGCACUGUGUGUGUGGCAAUGUUAGCUCUUCUGUACCAUCACGCUUGUCUCGUAAAUCUGCUCUGUAGGAGAGGCUCAUGUGCAAAGUAUUGAACAAUAUUUUAAAAGCUAAUGUAUUCAUCUUUAAGCCAAGAAGUCUCCUUUAUGAAUUUUAUUUAA
ensembl:lncRNA